CAAGAAGUAAGAUGGCGUUUUUAGACGGCCCACAUUCGAGCAAAGGGUUCUCCUAUUGGGUAAACUCAAGAAUUACCACUAAUAGGGAGGCUUGUUAUUGAAACGUGGCUCCCUCCCUUCAAUCUCCGCCUCUUCCUGCCGCACGAGCGGGAGAGAAAAAUUCUACAACAGUGUUAAAGAGGUAAAAGGAGCGCCGUCUUCCGGAGUUUAGCGGUCACGGAGCAGAGCACAGCGCCCCCACGUGGUGCAGAGAGGGGAAAAAAAAAAAGCUCAGUCGCUGCCGGAGAUCUGGGUCUCAAGGGCCGAUGUGACAGAGAAGUCAAGGCGAUCACCGGUGGCAGCUCUGGCCAAUCAGAAGAAGGGCAAGCUCAGGUGCACAUAUUCAGAAAUGGGAAGGAACCUAAAACAAGAAACAUCACUCAGAAAAUGCACAAGAGGUGUUACAAAUGUUUCAACUCAGUCUUGGGAAAAGAGAAGAGAAGAGGAAAAUCUUUAGAAACUUCAUUUUGUGCUUGUUUAGCAGAUUUUCAGUUCUGUUCAUAUAUUUUACAAAAUAAAGUAACAUUCCUCUAA